AUGAGCUCCAUCCCCAAAUUAGUGGCGCACUACAUCCCUGAAGCAUGUGUCCGAGUUCCCCAAAUCAGUGGCGCACUACAUCCCUGAAGCAUGUGUCCGAGUUUUGAAGCCAUAUUUGGAGUUCUCGGGCGCGCCGUCGCCAGAUCCACCAUGUCGAGCAACUAGUCGGAGGAACUAUUGUAGGACAUGCCAGAAGAGUACAAAUCAAUGUUGAGAAAGGCAUGAUGUUCUCCGUUGUGUAUUCUAAAUGGGUUGCUAUGGUGGAUGGAGUAGCAUGACUUCGAUUUCUUUGCUUGCCAAAGAAUAAAAGAAUCACACAUUUUCAAAACUUGAGACAUUGAGCUUGCGGAACACUUUUCAAUUUGUAUUCAACCCAUGACACAGUAUGAGCAUGGCCAUUUUAACAAUAAGUAUUUCUCUUAAAUAUACUCCUUUGUUGGUUUGCAGUUAUAAUGUGGAGGGUAUUUUCCUCUGAUGCAACCAUACAUUGUUAACACAUGUAUA